AAACCCUAACUCAAGCAAAAUCCCUUCAAUUGAAGCCCUAAAUCAGUUCCAAAUCGAGCUCUAAUCACAUAUUAGUAAACACCUCGUUGUAAGGAUCAAAAGGCAAAGAGUCCGGUUCCUCUAGCGGGCAAGCCGGAGGAGAUUCACGAGGAAAAGGCGCGCUCUAAAGUUCUCAGGUACCCAAGUAAAGGAUGAAGAUCAAGCAAGCGAGUCGAACCGAACACACAUUUUUAGAACGCUUCCGCAUCCGAACUUUUGUUU